ACCAUAUCUUUUUGUGUGUUUAAUUUUUCAGGAGAUUGUCUGAUAUCCAUUAUCCUUAUUGAUUUAUUUUUUCGUCUUGCAAUGACAACUGACCAAACAGUUCUAUUAAGAACUACUCUUCUUUCUCUGCCUUCUGCCUUCUUUCCCUUAUUUCUGUAUUCACCUUUUGUGUACCUGACUAUCGGUUAUGACAGGUAAGCCAUUUCAUUUCCAAAAUCUUACGAACUUAAUUUGAACAGAACAUGCAAAAACUUAUUCAUGGGAAAAUGAAUGAGUUUGUUUUGCUAUUUUGAGGUAUGUUGUUUUCUCUAAUACAAUGCAUGUGCAGGUGUACCACUUGCUUUUGGAGUAGAUGACAUCUAUUCUGGGACAGGCAGUUGUCCUACACUGGACAGCUGGGGUGAUGUCAAAUCCUGAACACUUUCAGGCAAAGCAUUUAAAGCAUGCCAUAUAUUUUGAGGAUAAUGGCAUCCAAAAAUAUUGCUUUCCUUGCUUUUGUUUGAGUUCCCGACAAAGGAAGAGGUGA
rnacentral:lncRNA from 1 species